AGUUUGAUCCUGGCUCAGGAUGAACGCUAGCUACAGGCUUAACACAUGCAAGUCGAGGGGCAGCAUUUCAGUUUGCUUGCAAACUGGAGAUGGCGGCCGGCGCACGGGUGAGUAACACGUAUCCACCGCCGAUACUGGGGUACCUUUGGAAAAAGUUUAAACCCGGGUGUAAAAUCGCCCCAUGUUUUUUUAAAGAAUUUCGGUUUCGGAGGGGAUCGGUCCCUUAGGCAGUGGGGGAGGACCGCCUCCACAACCCUUGGGGGGAUAGGGUUUGAGAGAGAGGUCCCCCCCAAUGGGAACUGAGCCCCGGUCCAAACUCCUGGGGGGAGCACCAGGGGGAAUUUUGGUCAAUGGCCGCAGCCUUGCACCAGCAAAGUAGCGUGAAGGAUGACUCCCCUUAUGGGUUGUAAACUUCUUUUAUAUGGGAAUAAAGUUUUCCACGUGUGGAAUUUUGUAUGUACCAUAUGAAUAAGGAUCGGCUAACUCCGUGCCAGCAGCCGCGGUAAUACGGAGGAUCCGAGCGUUAUCCGGAUUUAUUGGGUUUAAAGGGAGCGUAGGUGGACAGUUAAGUCAGUUGUGAAAGUUUGCGGCUCAACCGUAAAAUUGCAGUUGAUACUGGCUGUCUUGAGUACAGUAGAGGUGGGCGGAAUUCGUGGUGUAGCGGUGAAAUGCUUAGAUAUCACGAAGAACUCCGAUUGCGAAGGCAGCUCACUGGACUGCAACUGACACUGAUGCUCGAAAGUGUGGGUAUCAAACAGGAUUAGAUACCCUGGUAGUCCACACAGUAAACGAUGAAUACUCGCUGUUUGCGAUAUACAGUAAGCGGCCAAGCGAAAGCAUUAAGUAUUCCACCUGGGGAGUACGCCGGCAACGGUGAAACUCAAAGGAAUUGACGGGGGCCCGCACAAGCGGAGGAACAUGUGGUUUAAUUCGAUGAUACGCGAGGAACCUUACCCGGGCUUAAAUUGCAUUUGAAUAUAUUGGAAACAGUAUAGCCGUAAGGCAAAUGUGAAGGUGCUGCAUGGUUGUCGUCAGCUCGUGCCGUGAGGUGUCGGCUUAAGUGCCAUAACGAGCGCAACCCUUAUCUUUAGUUACUAACAGGUCAUGCUGAGGACUCUAGAGAGACUGCCGUCGUAAGAUGUGAGGAAGGUGGGGAUGACGUCAAAUCAGCACGGCCCUUACGUCCGGGGCUACACACGUGUUACAAUGGGGGGUACAGAAGGCAGCUACCUGGUGACAGGAUGCUAAUCCCAAAAGCCUCUCUCAGUUCGGAUCGAAGUCUGCAACCCGACUUCGUGAAGCUGGAUUCGCUAGUAAUCGCGCAUCAGCCAUGGCGCGGUGAAUACGUUCCCGGGCCUUGUACACACCGCCCGUC
rnacentral:rRNA from 1 species